GGUUAACGGUUUAGUCAGCUUAGUCAAUGGCUUGAUUCAGUGAAGAACGGAUCGAUUCACGGCUAGGUUCACGGCUUGACGGCUUGAAAUGGGCUCAACAGGAAAUGGGUCACGUUUCAGGUCAAAAUGCAGGUCGAAAUGCGUAUCCUCUCCGCCGGAAAUGACGUCGGAUCUUGUUUCUUUAAAUAACCGAUUAUCCUAAAAACCCCUUUUUGAAUCCUCUUAACUCCAUAUUUCUCUUUUUCAAAUCGAAACACCCUAAGAAUCAGCUAAACACGCUAGAUCUAACGCCAAAACAAUUCAAGAAAUCUCCUAAAAAUUGCUUGCCUUCCUCGAAAAACAACCUACACCACCAGUUAGUUUCCCUCCCCUUUGCUAGUCUAGAU
rnacentral:lncRNA from 1 species